rnacentral:rRNA from 1 species
CAGCCGCCACGGUAAUACGUAGGGCGCAAGCGUUGUCCGGAAUUAUUGGGCGUAAAGAGCUCGUAGGCGGUCUGUCGCGUCUGGUGUGAAAUCCCGAGGCUCAACCUCGGGCUUGCAUCGGGUACGGGCAGACUAGAGUGCGGUAGGGGAGACUGGAAUUCCUGGUGUAGCGGUGGAAUGCGCAGAUAUCAGGAGGAACACCGAUGGCGAAGGCAGGUCUCUGGGCCGCAACUGACGCUGAGGAGCGAAAGCAUGGGGAGCGAACAGGAUUAGAUACCCCGGUAGUCCCUGUCUCUUAUAC